AUAGUAAGUAAAUUUACUGUAUCACACUUGCGCGCAAAAGUGUCAGCUUGGAACGGCGUGUCGAUCAGCUGUAAAGGUGUCAACUAGGAACGUCGCGUCAAUCAGCCGAACAUGAGCGAGCUAGAAUCGGUCCGAAUAUAAACUGAUUUGUUAAAGUAUUAAGCUAAAAAAUUCAACUCGUGUUCAGCUCGUUCAUAAACGAACCGAAUACGAGUUGGCUCACGAGCUGACUAACGACAAUAUUAAAUUAAAUAUAUAUAUAAAUUAAAUUUAUAAAAUCUUACCCAUUAGAUUUUGAUCAAAUAGUUGAAAUUUUAUAUAUAAUUGAGUCUUUUUAUAAUUGAGCUCGGCUUUAUAUUUUUAUUUUACUAAAAUUAAAAUAAUAAAAAUAUAUAUUAUAUAUCUAAUUAUUUAUUUAUAUAUAUAAAUAUAAAUUAAAUAAAUUAUAUAAAUAUAAAAUAUAUGUAUUCGAGCUGCUAUCGAGUCGAACACGAGUAAGUUGAUUCCAGUUUGUGUUCGGCUCAUUUAUUAAACGAACGAAAAAAUUCAGCUUGUGGUCGGCUUGUUUAUUAACGAGCUGAAUACAAGCCGACUCACAAGCUGGCCAACGAACAAUAAGUUAAAAGGAUUAGAUUGAAUAUAUAUAAAAAAUAAAUUUACAAAAUCUUAUCCAUUAGGCUUUGAUCUAAUAGUUGAAAUUUUACAUAUAAAUAAAUCUUGUUAUAAUUGAGCUCACAUUUAUAUUUUUAUUUUGCUAAAAAUUAAAUAAUAAAAAUAUAUAUUAUAUAUAUAAUUAUUUAUUUAUAUAUAUAAAUAUAAAUUAAAUAAGUUAUAUAAAUAUAAAAUAUAUAUAUUCCAGCUGUUAUCGAGCCGAACACAAGCGAGCUGAC
rnacentral:lncRNA from 1 species